UCUGUAGUUCAGUCGGUAGAACGGCGGACUGUUAAUCCGUAUGUCACUGGUUCGAGUCCACGAU
rnacentral:tRNA from 1 species